GCGGGAGUGGCUCAGUGGUAGAGCUCCACCUUGCCAAGGUGGUUGUCGCGGGUUCGAUCCCCGUCUCCCGCU
rnacentral:tRNA from 1 species